AUCCUUUUGUAGUUCAUGAGCAUGAUGAUUGGGAGUUCCCACCCAUGUGUGAGAUGAGCCACCCUCGAACCUUGUUACCAUGUCAACAUAUUACCUGUCUGACA
ensembl:snoRNA